AGAAUAGAAUGAACGGAAACCCGAAUUUUAGCCUGUUUCAUUUUUACCUAAUAAAANUACCUAAAAGUAAAAACUCUUUUUUUUAAAAAAAAGACGAUAAGACCCUAUAGAACUACACUUCAGUUUAGCUGGGGCGGCUUUUUAAAAAAAUCUUAUCUUAAUUCCUUAAAACCUUUUUUUAUUAAAGUUACCUUAGGGAUAACAGCAUAAUAUAAUUUUAUAGCUCAUAUAAAAAAUUACGAUUAUGACCUCGAUGUUGAAUUAAACCUCUGCUAGACGAAAAAAAUUAGCAAGAAAGUCUGUUCGACUUAUAAUAAUUUACAUGAUUUGAGUUCAGACCGGUGAAAACCAGGUCGGUUUCUAUCUUUUUUAAAAAUGUACCAGUACGAAAGGACCUUACAACUUACUAAAAAU
rnacentral:rRNA from 1 species